UCAUUUCGUACACCAACAAGAGUAAAUAAUUGUAGUCACUUUUUACGCAUUUGUUUUUGUAUAUUAUUAAUAUUUUAUACAAUAUCAUUAAUUUUAAAUAAUUGUUUUCUAGUUUAAACUAACUUUCUUACUCGAAAUAAAAUAAUUUGCAGAGAAAUGUUACAUUUUUCACGAAAUAAUUUAUGUUUAGCUUUUUUUUUAUUUAGCUAUUCAUUGGAUGCAUUAGACAAUGGAUUAGCACUAACUCCACCUAUGGGAUGGCUUGCUUGGCAAAGAUUUAGAUGCACAAUUGAUUGUGAAACAUUUCCAGAUGAAUGUAUUAGUGAAGAGUUAUUCAAAAGAGCAGCAGAUUUAUUAGUUAGUGAAGGUUAUGCUAAUGUUGGAUAUGAAUAUGUUAUCAUUGAUGAUUGUUGGUUAGAAGCUAAUCGUUCUGCCGAAGGAAAAUUACAAGCUGAUAAAAAAAGAUUUCCAAAUGGAAUCAAAGCUUUGGCAGAAUAUAUACAUUCUAAAGGAUUGAAGUUGGGAAUUUAUGAAGAUGUGGGAACUAAAACUUGUGAGGGUUACCCUGGAAUUGAAGGGCAUGAAGAAAUGGAUGCUAAUACAUUUGCUGAAUGGGAUAUUGAUUAUAUAAAAAUUGAUGGAUGUUUUAUAGAUGAGCGUAGAAUGGAUAAAGGUUUUCCUCAAUUUGGAAAGUUUUUAAACAAAACCGGAAGACCAAUUGUAUAUUCAUGUUGUUGGCCAUUUUAUCAAGAUUGGAAAGGAAUUAAUGUAAAUUAUAAACUUGUGUCUGAGAAUUGUAAUUUAUGGAGAACUAAUGGAGAUAUUCAGGAAUCAUAUUCAUCAUUAAUGAAUAUUGUGGAUAUGAUUGCUUUGAAACAAGACUCUUGGGUUUUAAAUGCAGGUCCAGGACAUUGGAAUGAUCCUGAUAUGCUGUUAAUUGGAAAUUUUGCUUUGAGUUAUGAGCAGAGCAAAACUCAGAUGGCUCUAUGGGCUAUUUUAGCAGCUCCUCUAAUGAUGUCAAAUAAAUUAUCCUCUGUACGUUUAGAAUACAAAAGUAUACUUCAAAACACAGAUAUUAUAAAAGUAAAUCAGGAUAAGCUUGGAAUACAAGGAAGAAGAAUAUACAAGGAUCAAGGAAUUGAAGUGUGGGUUAGGCCAGUUGAACCAAAAAGUGAAAAAUAUUACUCUUAUGCUAUUGCAUUUGUCAAUCGUAGAACAGAAGGUACUCCAUACUUGUAUAGUACCUCAUUAAGAGAUCUUGGAUUAAUAAAUCCUGAAGGUUAUAUCAUAAAAAAUUUGUACUCAAAUCAUACAGUUUCUAAAUUUUUAGAGCCCAAUUCAUUGAUUAAAGUUUUAACGAAUCCUACAGUUUCUUAAAAGCUAACACAAAAUAUUUUGAGUCAUAUUUCAUAGAAUAAUUAUAACUAGCCAUCCUCAUAUUUAGAAAACUUACAAGAAACACAAAAAAAUAAAUACUUUUAGUACAAAAUUGGGCACAUAUAUAUUUUAUAUUGGCUAUUAUGGUGAAAAAUUAGUUAAUUGGUGAAUGAUCAUUAAUCAUAUUAAAAUAUAGAUAAAAUUAUUUUCUAUCAAAUUUAAAACAAUGAAUUUUCGAGAAAAGAAGUGGAGAUGGCAAAAUUUUACACUGGACACUUCAAUUAUUAUUUUUGUGUUGUUUUUCUAAAAGCAAGUUUAGUAUCUGAUCAAGAAGCUAUGUCAAGUUCAGGAGCAAAUAAAAUAAUUAUUUAUAAAUAAUUACAUGUACAGUUUUGAUACAAAAAAAUUAUAAUAAAAGAGUUCUAAUAAAUAACAUAAAAAUUCCAAAAAUUGCAAUUGAUUUUAAUUACUUUCAUCAUUUAAAAAUGUAUUAAAAUUUUAUUUUAUUUAUGCUAAAAAUAAAUCACAUGUAUAUUAUAUGCAUGUAACAUUUAAUAUUUUUAAUUAAUGUUUGUUAUUUACACAUCUAAUGA